ensembl:lncRNA
AGGAAAAAAGGUGCUAAAAUCUGAGAAUAGGACAGAGAAGAGAAGCAGCUUUACAACAACUUAAACUUUACCUAUUAAUUUUCCAUCUGAUACUGAUUUCAACCAGCAUGUCUCCCAGUCUUGAUUUUACUCGAACUUUUGAAAUAGUAAGAAAUGCUGUGAGUGUUUUCCUGCUGAUAGUCAUUUUUUACAUCAUGCAGUACAUUUUUGACAUGCAUUUCUUAUGCUCUUGCAUGCCAGGCCUACAUGUAAAUGGUGUACUGUACCUGGUCCUUCCACCUAUGAUCCUCACCUUUGUUGUCAACAUUCUUGAGCCUUUUCAGCGAAGAAAGGUUUUUUAUAACAUGGACUGUUUAAGCUGUGAGGGCUACACCAGUAAUUUCAGAGGGUAUCUUGCUAAGUCAGUUUUUAAGUAUGUCAGUCUGGCUGCUAUAUGGAUAGCCUCUGUUCUGUUUGAUGGAGACUGGUACUUUUGCCUGAUGACAAAUCUUAACCUGAAUCAGACUGGAAUCCCAUGCAAAGCAAAUCUUACCUAUGAGGAGCAACGCAUUCAAGACAAAUACAUGAAGGAUUCAAAUGACGAUGCCCUUUAUGUCAUCUUUGGUUUUGUGUGUGUUUGGAGCAUCUAUGAAAUGCGAAGAGCUUUUUGUAGAUCAAGACACCAGUGUUGUCCUCCUUACUACAGCGUGGUUUAUGAAGAUCUUCUGGCAGAGGAAGUCAGCAGCCAUUUGAAUGAAAAGCUGAAAAAAAUAGCAGCAGAAAAGGCUGAGGUAAUCUGUAAGCUCUACCUUCAGAAUAUAAGGAGACAUGAACUGACGGAACAAAAUGAAGAAGAUGUUGACAUUUCUGAUACUUGGAAGAUCAUUUCUGCCUCAGAUUUCUACUUGAUGGAAAAUGAAAAAUGUGAAUCAGUUGUGUAAUGGAAGGGAUCAAGUUGGACAGGACACAUGACAGCGCAAAUCAAUAUUCAUUCAUUUUUGUGAUAUAUCUCCUUUAUUCAGAUACCAUUUGUUAAUCUACAAUAACUCUUCAAAUGCAGUAUAUAUGUUUUUUUUGUUUUUUUACAAUUAAACUUCUUUAUACCAGUUUGAUCUUACUAUCUCAGAUUAAUUGUUCUUUUCAUUAACAUAUUGCAUAUUUCU